ensembl:lncRNA
GCCAUGAACAUGGACCAAAAACUCAGGCUAAAAUCCUGGCCCUCAAUGUGAUGGUGUUAGGAGGUGCCUUUGGGAGUAAUUAGGUCUUGAGGGUGGAGCCCUCGUGAAGGGGAUUAUUGCCCUUACAAAAGAGGCUCCAGAGAGCUCUCCUUCCACCCCAUGAGGACACAGGGAGACGUGGGCAGUCUGCAGGCCACAAGAGGGUCCUCACCAGGACCUGCCCAUGUUGGCAUCCUGCUCUCAGACUCCCAGCCUCUGGAACUGCCUUCUCAGAACCUCUCAGAGACGAAGAGUACCGCGGCUGUUUAAAAGGUGGGCAGUGCCCACAGCAUUUCCUGCCUGGCUGACCCAUGGGGCCAUGUGGAGCAGAACAUUGCUCAGGACUAAGUCUGGGGACACCUCACUCUGAAAUGCUGAUGAUCUGGACAGUCUUUUCAUUUACAAAGGGCCUGGGUUCUAUGAGCUUUCAACCUCCCCCCACCCCCCCACCCCCAUCAGCGGUCUUCAACUGAUGCUAAUACUGCUAAGUUCUACUCCGAGGAGGGAGACCCAGGUCGAGUCUGCCACUGAGCCCCCAGGGAAGCCUGGCUGUAGCCUGCCUCCUGGGAUGGCUCCUUCCCCUUCUCUGAGAUUCCUGUCGUUGCACUGACAAAUUGCCACAAACAUGUGCCUUAAAACAGCGGAGCGUUAUUGCCUUUCAGUUUGGGAGGUCAGAAGCCUCUGGGCUACAGUCAAGGUGCUGGCAGGGCUGUAUUCCUUCUGGAAGCUCAAGGAUUUUUCCUGCGUUUUCCAGCUUCUGGGGGCCACCCCCACUCCUUGGCUCAUGCCCCUUCCUCCAGCUUCAGCACCAGCAGUGGCAGGCCCAGCCUUCCUCGCAGCCUCGGUCAUCCACGUUUAGGGCUCUUGUGGUCCCACUGGACCCACCCGGGUCCCCCAGGCCAGUCUCCUGGUCAUGAGGUCAGCUGACUAGCAAGCUUAAUUCCAGCUGCACCCUUAAUGCCCCCUCUUGAGGUGGCAUCCAUUCACGGGUUCCAGGUUCUAGGUGGAUGUCUUCAGGGGCUGUUACUGUGCUUCCCUCGCCUCCUCUGCUCAGCUCUGAACUCAGCACAGUAACAGUGCUCAGAGCUGUGCCUGUGAUGCUCUCACCACGGCCCCCGGGGCGGCUGGCGCCCGUCACCCCUCCUGACAGGAAACCGAGGCUCAGAGGUGUGAAGUUGCCUGCUGAGGCCGCCCAGCAGGAAAACAGCCCAGCUGGGGCUCAUGGCCACGUCCACGCAUGCGCCUCAGGAGCCCAGGCUCUUGGCCACCAUGGGGGGCACCUGUUACCCGCCACGGGCCAGCUCCUCCCGCAGUGAGCGCCCCCACCGGCUUUGCUCAGGAGAGUGGACACAGUCCUAAGCUCCAUGCGUCAGUUCCACAGGCCUGUGAGCACACUUCCCUGGCCCUCAGGGUUCUCCUCCCUGGGCCUCCGCCAGCUAGUGUGCAGAAACACUCGACGUGCAAAGACCCCACGCGGGCCUCACUGGCUCUACCUGCAACCCGUGGGAAUGUUUGUUUCUGCUGGGUCUGCCUCCCGCGCUGCAAAGUUGGCCCUGUGAAAGCAGCUAAUGGAUAUGUUUGCGUUGCUUCAGUCUCCCCGGGACCCAGCACUGUGCCUGGACCGUGGCAGCAUCAGGGUCUUUUCCAAUGAGUCAGCUCUUUGCAUCAGGUGGCCAAAGUAUUAGAGCUUCAGCUUCAGCAUCAGUCCUUCCAAUGAAUAUUCAGGACUGAUUUCCUUUAGGAUGGACUGGUUGGAUCUCCUUGCUGUUCAAGGGACUCAAGAGUCUUCUCUAGCACCACAGUUAAAAAGCAUCAAUUCUUUGGCGCUCAGCGUUCUUUACAGUCCAACAC